CACCGCGGUUAUACGAGUAACACAAACUAAUAUUACCACGGCGUUAAGGGUGAUUAGAAAUAUCUUACCCAAAAUAAAGUUAAGACCCCAUUAAGCUGUUAUACGCUCUCAUGCUUAAAAACAUCAUUCACGAAAGUAACUUUAUAUAAAAAAGAGUUUUUGACCUCACGACAGUUAAGACC
rnacentral:rRNA from 1 species